UAAGUCAGUAGUGAAAUGACGAGGCUCAACCUCGUGUCCAUUACUGAAACUGCUAAGCUAGAGAAUGAGAGAGGUCACUGGAAUUCCCUGUGUAGGAGUGAAAUCCGUAGAUAUAAGGAGGAACACCGAUGGCGUAGGCAGGUGACUGGCUCAUUUCUGACACUAAGGCACGAAAGCGUGGGGAGCAAACGGGAUUAGAUACCCCGGUAGUCCACGCCGUAAACUAUGGAUACUA
rnacentral:rRNA from 1 species